CUCGGGGGCGCCUGUUCGCCCCCAGGAGCGAGCCGCGGGGCAGGAAAGAAAAGCCCCGUCGGCCUGCGGUUCCGUGGCGGGGAGACAAAGGCGACAACAAAUGACAAGUAAACACCCAGCCACAGGAAGCCAUUAAGGAGAGUGGGCGCUAAUGAGCGCGCCGCGGGGGCCCCGACCCGCCCGGAGCCCCGCUGGCAGGCCGUAAACCUGCUGGGCCCCUCUGUCCCCCGCGGUCGUGCCAUCAGAAGCCGCAAUUACUGGCUUGGCGGUGAGAAGACUCCAGGGGCCGAGAGAAAACCGGGAUUCUGUGAUCUUGCACAUUCUCACGUCUGCCCUUCAGCGGCCGCGUGCGAGCGCCAAGAUGUCGCCUGGCGGUGUAGACAUUGGUGAAGUUGAAGGAGACAACAGCAGAUCAUCUCCGAUGAUCCUAAAAGAAACUUGGAGAGAGACAGAGUGUGAGCGACGGAGGGGCAGAAAGAGAAGGAGACACAGAAUCCGAAGCAGGCUCCAGGCUCUGAGCUGUCAGCACAGAGCCCGAGGCGGGGCUCGAACCCAUGAACUGUGAGAUCAUGACCUGAACUGAAGUCGGACGCCUAACAGACUAAACCACCAGGGCGCCCCUUCACUUUAAAAGUCAUAAAGCCAGAGCUCAAGGGAAACAGUCACACCCUCCGGGAACCGGUGUGCCCUCCUCCUGCCUUAUACCUUCAGCCUCUGACUUCUACCCACCCCACCCCGGCCUUAUUUACGCACAACCGACUGAGCCACCCAGGGGCCCCAUCAAUUUGCUAAUGUUUUAUUGAGGAGUUUUGCAUAUAUUUUCAUCAGAGAUAGCGGCCUGUACAUUUCUAUUCUUGUGGUCUCUUCGUCUCGUUUUCGUAACAGGGUAAUGGUGGUCUGGUAAAAUUAGCUUAGAAAAGUUCCUUCUUCUUCUGGUUUUCAGCAGAGUUUUAGAAGGACUGGUAUUAUUUCUUCUUUGAAUGUUUGGUAGAAUUCACCAGUGAAGCCAUCUCGUCCCGGAUUUUGUCGGGAGGUUUUUGAUUAAUGAUCCAAUCUCCUUACUAGUAAUUCAUCUCUUCAGAUUUUCUAUUGCGUCAUGAUUCAGUCAUUCAACAUGGUGUGUUUCUAGGAAUUCAUCCAUUCCUUCUAGUUUGGCCAAUUUCUUGGAGUGUAAUUGUUCAUAGUCGUCUCUUGUGAUCCUUUGUAUCUUUGUGGCAUCAGUCAUAAUGUCUCUUCUUUCGUUUGAUUUUAUUUGAGUCCUCUCUCCAGUAAAUUUUUUUUUUUUUGCCGAUUUUGUUUAUUUUUACCAAGAACCAAUUCUUAGCUUCAUUGGUCUUUUCUACAUGUUCAUUUUUUGCUUGUGCGGGAACUAUGGUUUUAAGUUUUUGAAAAUUAUACUUUAACAUCUGUGAAGUGCUUGGUAAACAUUAAUUGCGGCUCUUUCACAUCCAGAAUAAAUACAGAAUGCAAUAUCUUUUGUGAUGCAAAUAUUUAUGGAAGGAAUAAAGUGAAAGAAUGUGGCUGACAACUAGCAAAAUUAAAAUUACUUAUUUUGUAUUUGCAUGGCAUUUAAUAAAAGAUGCUCAAAACCGUUUGGUGAAAGAAUAAAGGAAAAUGCUUGCGAUUCCA